rnacentral:rRNA from 1 species
AACGAACGCUGGCGGCAUGCCUAACACAUGCAAGUCGAACGAGACCUUCGGGUCUAGUGGCGCACGGGUGCGUAACGCGUGGGAACCUGCCUUUAGGUUCGGAAUAACUCAGAGAAAUUUGAGCUAAUACCGGAUGAUGUCUUCGGACCAAAGAUUUAUCGCCUUUAGAUGGGCCCGCGUUGGAUUAGCUUGUUGGUGGGGUAAAGGCCUACCAAGGCGACGAUCCAUAGCUGGUCUGAGAGGAUGAUCAGCCACACUGGGACUGAGACACGGCCCAGACUCCUACGGGAGGCAGCAGUGGGGAAUAUUGGACAAUGGGCGAAAGCCUGAUCCAGCAAUGCCGCGUGAGUGAUGAAGGCCUUAGGGUUGUAAAGCUCUUUUAACCGAGAUGAUAAUGACAGUAUCGGGAGAAUAAGCGCCGGCUAACUCCGUG